GACGAACCGUGCGAACGUUGUUCGGAAUCACUGGGCUUAAAGGGCGCGUAGGCGGCCCGCCCGGUCCGGGGUGAAAGCCCCCAGCUCAACUGGGGAAGGGCCUCGGAUACCGGCGGGCUCGAGGGAGGUAGGGGCGGGCGGAACUUCCGGUGGAGCGGUGAAAUGCGUUGAUAUCGGAAGGAACGCCGGUGGCGAAAGCGGCCCGCUGGGCCUCCGCUGACGCUGAGGCGCGAAAGCCAGGGGAGCGAACGGG
rnacentral:rRNA from 1 species